rnacentral:rRNA from 1 species
AUGGCGAACGCGGGGCUGAAGCCGGUGGCCGGCUUCCUCCUGAUGCUCAACUUCUGCAUGUACCUCAUCGUCGCCGCGGUCGGGGGCUGGGCCAUCAACUUCGCCAUCAACAACGGCUUCUUCAUAGGUUCCGGGCUGGAGCUGCCGUCACACUUCUCUCCGAUCUACUUCCCGAUAGGGAACGCGGCGACUGGGUUCUUCGUCAUCUUCGCCGUGAUUGCCAGCGUGGUCGGCAUGGGGGCGGCGCUUGCCGGAUUCCACCAUGUCCGGGCGUGGAGCCACGAGAGCCUGCCGGCGGCAGCCUCCUCUGCGUUCAUCGCCUGGAUGCUCACGCUGCUCGCCAUGGGAUUGGCAGUCAAGGAGAUUGACCUGAACGGCAGGAAUGCUAGACUGAUAACCAUGGAGGCUUUCACCAUCAUACUCUCGGGGACGCAGCUCUUCUACAUACUCGCCAUACACGGAGGGAGGUGA